rnacentral:rRNA from 1 species
AGAGUUUGAUCCUGGCUCAGGACGAACGCUGGCGGCGUGCCUAAUACAUGCAAGUCGAGCGGACAGAUGGGAGCUUGCUCCCUGAUGUUAGCGGCGGACGGGUGAGUAACACGUGGGUAACCUGCCUGUAAGACUGGGAUAACUCCGGGAAACCGGGGCUAAUACCGGAUGGUUGUUUGAACCGCAUGGUUCAAACAUAAAAGGUGGCUUCGGCUACCACUUACAGAUGGACCCGCGGCGCAUUAGCUAGUUGGUGAGGUAAUGGCUCACCAAGGCAACGAUGCGUAGCCGACCUGAGAGGGUGAUCGGCCACACUGGGACUGAGACACGGCCCAGACUCCUACGGGAGGCAGCAGUAGGGAAUCUUCCGCAAUGGACGAAAGUCUGACGGAGCAACGCCGCGUGAGUGAUGAAGGUUUUCGGAUCGUAAAGCUCUUUUGUUAGGGAAGAACAAGUACCGUUCGAAUAGGGCGGUACCUUGACGGUCCCUAACCCGAAAGCCACGGCUAACUACGUGCCAGCAGCCGCGGUAAUACGUAGGUGGCAAGCGUUGUCCGGAAUUAUUGGGCGUAAAGGGCUCGCAGGCGGUUUCUUAAGUCUGAUGUGAAAGCCCCCGGCUCAACCGGGGAGGGUCAUUGGAAACUGGGGAACUUGAGUGCAGAAGAGGAGAGUGGAAUUCCACGUGUAGCGGUGAAAUGCGUAGAGAUGUGGAGGAACACCAGUGGCGAAAGCGACUCUCUGGUCUGUAACUGACGCUGAGGAGCGAAAGCGUGGGGAGCGAACAGGAUUAGAUACCCUGGUAGUCCACGCCGUAAACGAUGAGUGCUAAGUGUUAGGGGGUUUCCGCCCCUUAGUGCUGCAGCUAACGCAUUAAGCACUCCGCCUGGGGAGUACGGUCGCAAGACUGAAACUCAAAGGAAUUGACGGGGGGCCGCAAAGACUGAAACUCAAAGGAAUUGACGGGGGGCCGCA